CCUACGGGAGGCAGCAGUGGGGGAUAUUGCACAAUGGAGGGAACCCUGAUGCAGCGACGCAGCGUGGGUGAAGGAGUGCUUCGGCAUGUAAAGCCCUAUCGGCAGGGAAGAAGAAAGACGGUACCUGACUAAGAAGCCCCGGCUAACUACGUGCCAGCAGCCGCGGUAAUACGUAGGGGACGAGCGUUAUCCGGAUUCACUGGGUGUAAAGGGUGCGUAGACGGCCAAGAAAGCAAGGGGUGAAAGCCCGGGGCUCAACCCCGGAACUGCCCUUGGAAAUGCAUGGCUUGAGUGCGGGAGGGGCAGGCGGAAUUCCUGGUGUAGCGGUGAAAUGCGUAGAUAUCAUGAGGAACACCGGCGGCGAAGGCGGCCGUCUGGACCGCGACUGACGUUGAGGCUCGAAAGCGUGGGGAGCGAACAGGAUUAGAUACCCCAGUAGUC
rnacentral:rRNA from 1 species